rnacentral:rRNA from 1 species
ACAGACGACCAUACCACGUUGCAAGCAUCGGUUCUCAUCCGAUCACCACAGUUAAGCAACUUUGUGUCCGGUCAGUACUUGCAUGGGUGAACGACUGGGAAUACCGGGUGCCGCCGUCU